rnacentral:lncRNA from 1 species
GAAAAAUUACAUCAAAGUGCUAACAAAACAAUUCAUCAUAAUGUUGGGCUUAGAAAGCGAGCAUACACUCAGUUGUAUCAUCAUAAUCGACUAAGUAAGUAUUUCAUCAAUUCAGCAUAACACAUCGACAAUUUUCCAUUGUCAAAUCUCACCGAAGAUUUUUUUUUAUAGGCAAUGAGAUAAGUGAGACAACAAGUUGUUUCUGACAGACAGAUACCCCAUCCUAUGCCGCCUACUCAUAAUAUAUUAAAUCCCACCAAAGAUAAAGUGAUGUAAUUUCAAAUAAUAGAUGUUGAAUAAAAAUAAUUAGCGUCGAAACGAAUGACAUCCAAAAAUUAAAAUUUAAGAUUAAUUAUUUUUUAUGCAAAUGAUAUCCAAAACAAAUAAAACAUCUCAUCAUAAUAUUGUGACUGUUGGGGGAGCAUAAAUUGAGUUGGAUAAUCGUGUUAGGUUAAGAUCAACCAUAAUUUAAGAAUGCAAAAUUUUAACCAAUUAUUGGUACGACUAUCUAUACUAGUACAGGAGAAAUUGAUAUUGUUUGUAUCAACGAUAACACUAACUUAAGUAGUAGCCAUAGCCUAAUAAUCACAUCAAAUCUAACAAAUUUUUACCUCUUUAGUAAGUUCCACUUUUGUUUUUUGUAAGUUCCACUUUCUAUCAUGAAACGUUAAAGAAUAAAGCAAAUUUAAAAAAUUAGAAUGAAUUUCGAGGAUUGUUAAAAAGAAAAAUAUGUUAC